AAUUGGAGGGCAAGUCUGGUGCCAGCAGCCGCGGUAAUUCCAGCUCCAAUAGCGUAUAUUAAAGUUGUUGCAGUUAAAAAGCUCGUAGUUGAAUUUCGGGGUCAGUAGAUUGGUCAUGCCACUGGUAUGUACUGGUCUUACUGGCUCCUCCUUCCUGAUGAACCGUAAUGCCAUUAAUUUGGUGUUGCGGGGAGACUGGACUGUUACUUUGAAAAAAUUAGAGUGUUUAAAGCAGGCUAACGCUUGAAUACAUUAGCAUGGAAUAAUGAAAUAGGACGUUCGGUCUUAUUUUGUUGGUUUCUAAGAUUGACGUAAUGAUUAAUAGGGAUAGUUGGGGGCAUUAGUAUUCAAUUGUCAGAGGUGAAAUUCUUGGAUUUAUUGAAGACUAACUACUGCGAAAGCAUUUGCCAAGGAUGUUUUCAUUAAUCAAGAACGAAAGUUAGGGGAUCGAAGACGAUCAGAUACCGUCGUAGUCUUAACCAUAAACUAUGCCGACUAGGGAUCGGAUGAUGUUAAUUUUUUAAUGACUCAUUCGGCGCCUUACGGGAAACCAAAGUGU
rnacentral:rRNA from 1 species